GGUUUCUUAGGUAAUAAUAAGAAACCAAAUUUCACUAACAUCCGGUUUCUUAGAUUUUAACUAUUAUUUAAUUUUAAAAAUAUAGAAACCUAGACUAUUCUUAUAUUCUCAUAGAAGAUAGAAUAGUAGAACCGCCGCCCUCCUAUGCCUUUUAAAAUUAACUGCACCCUUCAUUCAUUUGUAAAAAAAAUUAAAAAUAAAACUUCUCCGUUAUUCUCACAAAGGCAAAAACCCAAUCAAUUCCUCAUUUCGUCAUUAUUCCUUCACCUUCUCUACUAAUUAUAGAUCUCCAUACUAUGUUUCAUCUCUAAUGAUCUUUCUUUUUAGUUAAAUAUAUAAGCACAUGAUCCUCUUGUUGCAUAAUUCGUCUUCUCGUCAAUUUUCGGUCUGGUGGCGGCGGCACCAUAAAAGUAGAGGAGCGAGAUUGUCAGAUUGAUGCAGCGAAAUGGGCAGUAAAGAGAAGAAAUCCGGUAGUGGUGAGACUAUUAUGGGUAAAUAAAAGCAAGCAGUUGAAUGGAUAUUAAUCGAAGAAGACAUAGUACGGCAAAAAAAUGAAAAAACGAGGAAAAGAGCAUAUUUUUGUGAGUUGUGACGACAAAAACAAGAACAAAGAAAAAAGAUAUUUGUGUGUAUUGUAAAGAAUUUAACUUCUGUAAAAUAUAUGUAUUGUACAUCUGUAUUCUAUGUUAGUUCUUCGAUACUUUUUUUUUUUUUUAAUUUUUUUACAGUUUUAGGGAUUAGAUAGAUUUGUAUUUAAUUAUACAAUAUAAAGUUAUCAAUUUUGGAA